rnacentral:SRP_RNA from 2 species
GCUGGGCAUGGUGGCGCGUGCCUGUAAUCCCAGCUACUUGGGAGGCUGAGGCAGGGGAAUUGCUUGAGCCCAGGAGGUGGAGGUUGCAGUGAGCAAGAUUGCACCAUCGCACUCCAGCCUGGGCAACAGAGUCAGACUCCAUCUCAA